rnacentral:rRNA from 1 species
AUUGAACGCUGGCGGCAUGCUUUACACAUGCAAGUCGAACGGUAACAGGCCGCAAGGUGCUGACGAGUGGCGCACGGGUGAGUAAUGCAUCGGAACGUGCCCAGUCGUGGGGGAUAACUACUCGAAAGAGUAGCUAAUACCGCAUACGAUCUAUGGAUGACAGCGGGGGACCGUAAGGCCUCGCGCGAUUGGAGCGGCCGAUGUCAGAUUAGGUAGUUGGUGGGGUAAAGGCGCACCAAGCCAACGAUCUGUAGCUGGUCUGAGAGGACGACCAGCCACACUGGGACUGAGACACGGCCCAGACUCCUACGGGAGGCAGCAGUGGGGAAUUUUGGACAAUGGGCGCAAGCCUGAUCCAGCAAUGCCGCGUGCAGGAAGAAGGCCUUCGGGUUGUAAACUGCUUUUGUACGGAACGAAACGGCUCUGGUUAAUACCCGGGGCUAAUGACGGUACCGUAAGAAUAAGCACCGGCUAACUACGUG